UACGGAGGGUGCAAGCGUUAUCCGGAUUCACUGGGUUUAAAGGGUGCGUAGGCGGAUAGGUAAGUCCGUGGUGAAAUCCUGCAGCUUAACUGCAGAACUGCCAUGGAUACUAUUUAUCUCGAAUGUCGUGGAGGUUAGCGGAAUAUGUCAUGUAGCGGUGAAAUGCUUAGAUAUGACAUAGAACACCCAUUGCGAAGGCAGCUAACUACGCGAUAAUUGACGCUGAUGCACGAAAGCGUGGGGAUCAAACAGG
rnacentral:rRNA from 1 species